AAGGAAUACGAGUCUUCAGAGAGGUUAAGUGACUUCCUCAGCGUCUCGCAGUCAGUCGGUGGCAGAGCCCGGGUGUACAGUGCCUGCUUGUUAGGACCAAAAGCUGGACACGGCUGGAUUCACCCCUGGUGGCCAAGCUGGGAAGAGGCAUUUAGGGGUCCUUGUGCAGCCUCGUGGCCCCUCCCACUAGGUCCUAGAGCCACAUUCCUUGAGGGGAGGCAGGAUUCUAGCAUCACCCGGUGCCUUCAACAGGAACCCUUAGCCGGGUUUGGGGUGCGGUGUGGCCUGUGGGGCGAGGUGGAGCGGGGCGGAGACGGACUCAGUCUUCGCAACUCCAUUUGCAUACGGAGGCGACUCGCUUCCUUCCCGCCCCUCCGCCUCGCUCUUCCCUCCUUCUCCCGUCCUUUCCACUCUGCGUCUUCUGUCCCCCGUUCCUCCCCAGCGGACCCCUCCUUCGAGACUCCCUCGUGGGUUUCCCAGCUCCCGGGUGCUUUGCCCUUGCCGAGCGCGUUUUCUGGAGUCACCUGGGGGAGGGGAGUCCUGGGCAGGGCUGGGUUGGGGAGGACGCCUGGGGCACUGCCCGGCGCUAACAAAGCGAGCCGGUACCGACCGGCGUGGGCGUGGAGCGGGCGGAGCAACCGUAGCCUCCGCGGCCGAGAGUGCAGCGUGUGAAGGUAGAGCCAAUUGUGCAGAGCCCUGCAGCCAGCAGUCCAGGGAGAAGUGGUGAAUGUCAUGGAGCCCAGCUGAAAUGGACCGGCCCCCUUGAGCCUGACCCAAGCCCUGGUACCAGCUUUCCAUCCCAGUGCUGAGGUAAGACCCCUUGAAUCCCAGCCUGAGGAAGAGAGGACACAAUGCCUUUUUGCAGGGGCAGGAGGCAGAAGGCCUUCUCUAAGGCUCAGGAAAGAAGGAGCCAUUGUUUCUGGUUCAGUCAAACCAUCUGCUUCAACCUCAGCCCGUGGGGAGGUGAGGUCAUUUGGUGGCCAAAGAGGCUUCUGGUUUGUCAGAGCAGGUCUUUUGGAAUCUUGAUUGGAAUUAUAUUUUCUCAACUACUGGGGAAAUUUGAAUUCCAAAAAGAAUAAAUUUAUACUCCAGUUAAG
rnacentral:lncRNA from 13 species